rnacentral:rRNA from 1 species
AAUGAACGUUGGCGGCAUGGAUUAGGCAUGCAAGUCGAGCGAGAAGUGUAGCAAUACACGGAAAGCGGCGGAAGGGAGAGUAAUACGUGGGAAUCUGCCCUUAGACCUGGGAUAGCAGCGGGAAACUGCUGGUAAUACCAGAUAAUGUCUAUGGACCAAAGGUGUGAUUCCGUCUAGGGAUGAGCCCACGUCCUAUUAGCUAGUUGGUAGGGUAAUGGCCUACCAAGGCGAGUGUGGGUAGCGGGUGUGAGAGCAUGACCCGCCUCACUGGGACUGAGACACUGCCCAGACACCUACGGGUGGCUGCAGUCGAGAAUCUUCGGCAAUGGGCGCAAGCCUGACCGAGCGAUGCCGCGUGCGGGAUGAAGGCCUUCGGGUUGUAAACCGCUGUCGAGGGGGAGCAACUUCCAUAGAGUUAUCUUUAUGGAUUGAGUGAUCCCUGGAGGAAGGACGGGCUAAGUUCGUGCCAGCAGCCGCCGUAAUAC